UGGGGAAUAUUGGACAAUGGGCGCAAGCCUGAUCCAGCCAUGCCGCGUGGGUGAAGAAGGCCUUCGGGUUGUAAAGCCCUUUUGUUGGGGAAGAAAUCGUACGGGUGAAUAUCCCGUGCGGAUGACGGUACCCAAAGAAUAAGCACCGGCUAACUUCGUGCCAGCAGCCGCGGUAAUACGAAGGGUGCAAGCGUUACUCGGAAUUACUGGGCGUAAAGCGUGCGUAGGCGGUUCGUUAAGUCUGUCGUGAAAGCCCUGGGCUCAACCUGGGAAUUGCGAUGGAUACUGGCGAGCUAGAGUGAGGUAGAGGAUGGUGGAAUUCCCGGUGUAGCGGUGAAAUGCGUAGAGAUCGGGAGGAACACCCGUGGCGAAGGCGGCCAUCUGGACCAGCACUGACGCUGAGGCACGAAAGCGUGGGGAGCAAACAGG
rnacentral:rRNA from 1 species